rnacentral:rRNA from 1 species
CCUACGGGUGGCAGCAGUGGGGAAUAUUGCGCAAUGGGCGCAAGCCUGACGCAGCGACGCCGCGUGAGGGAUGAAGGUCUUCGGAUCGUAAACCUCUGUCAGCAGGGAAGAACGGUCACUGUGCUAAUCAGCAGUGAAUUGACGGUACCUGCAAAGGAAGCACCGGCUAACUCCGUGCCAGCAGCCGCGGUAAUACGGAGGGUGCGAGCGUUAAUCGGAAUUACUGGGCGUAAAGCGCUCGUAGGCGGUAUGUCAAGUCAAGGGUGAAAUCCCCGCGCUCAACGUGGGCACUGCCGUUGAAACUGGCAAACUGGAGUGUGGGAGAGGAUAGUGGAAUUCGAGGUGUAGGGGUGAAAUGCGUAGAGAUCGGGAGGAACAUCGGUGGCGAAGGCGACUAUCUGGCACACAACUGACGCUGAGGAGCGAAAGCGUGGGUAGCAAACAGGAUUAGAUACCCUUGUAGUC